rnacentral:tRNA from 1 species
AAUAAAGUGCCUGAAUAAAAGGGUUAUCUUGAUAGGAUAGAUUAUGUAUUAAUAAAUACCUUUAUUA